GAUGAACGCUAGCGGCAGGCCUAAUACAUGCAAGCCGAACGGCAAGGUUGAUAGCAAUUUUGGUCCUAGAGUGGCGCAAGGGUGCGUAACACGUAUGCAACCUGCCCUCGACAUUAGGAUAACUCCCCGAAAGGGGAAUUAAUCCCCCAUAACAGCAUCAGCUGCCAUCUGGGUAUUGUUAAGCCUCAAGGGGUCGCGGUUGAGCCUGCGGUUAAUGAGUUAGUUGGGGGGGAAAAGGCGACCCAAGCCGGUGAUCAAUAGGGGUUCAGAGAGGUAGGUCCCGCACGGUGGCACUGAGAUACGGGCCAGACUACUACGGCAGGCAGCAGUAGGGAAGAUUGGAUAAUGGUUGCAAGACUGAGCCAGCCAUGCCGCGUGCAGGAAGAAGGGCUUCUGGGUCGUGAACUGCUUUUUCCUGCGGAUAAAAUACCCGUGCGCGGGGAAUUGAAGGUAACAGGUGAAUAAGCAACGGCUAACUACGUG
rnacentral:rRNA from 1 species